rnacentral:lncRNA from 1 species
GCACAACCCCAACCACGGGCACUACCCCAUCCACCGGCACUCCCCCAUCCACCGGCACUACCCCAUCCACCGGCACAACCCCAUCCACCGGCACAACUCCUACCACCGGGACAACUCCUACCACCGGGACAACCCCCACAACCGGGACAACCCCCACAACCGGCACAACACCCACAACCGGCACAACACCUACAGGCACCACCCCGUACACAUCGACUCCUGGAGUACUAGGAGGCAUUGGCACCGGCGUAGGGCCAUCGGGAGCUGGCAUCACCACGGACGACAGCGG